rnacentral:pre_miRNA from 1 species
ACCUCGUGCAGCCAUCUGGCAGUGUUGUUAGCUGGCCGCUAGGAGUCGCUCUUUAGGCCCUCUAUCAACGCUGCCCUACGGAAGCGCGACAC